UACAGAGGGUGCGAGCGUUAAUCGGAAUUACUGGGCGUAAAGGGCGCGUAGGCGGUUAUGUAAGUGUGAUGUGAAAGCCCUGGGCUUAACCUAGGAAGUGCAUCGCAAACUGUGUAGCUAGAGUAUAUGAGAGGGUGGCGGAAUUUCCGGUGUAGCGGUGAGAUGCGUAGAGAUCGGAAGGAACGUCAAUGGCGAAGGCAGCCACCUGGCAUAAUACUGACGCUGAGGCGCGAAAGCGUGGGGAGCGAACAGG
rnacentral:rRNA from 1 species